UCCCAUCUCUCUCUCUGUCUCUCUCUCUCUCUCCCUCUGUGUCUCUCUCUGUCUCUGUCUCUGUCUCUCUCCUUCUGUGUCUCUCUCUCUGUCUCUCUCUCUCUGUCUCUCUUCCUCCCCCCUUUCCUUUCCUCUCCUCUCCUUUCCUUUAUUUUUCUUUCCUCUCUUCUCUUUUCCUUUCUUUCCUUUACUUAUUUUCCUCUCCUCUCCUCUCCUCUCUUUUCCUUUCCUUUAUUUUCCUUUCCUUUCUUUCCCUUUCUUUCCCUUUCCUUUCCUUUCUUUUCCUCUCCUCUCCUCUCCUCUCCUCUCCUCUCCUCUCCUCUUUUCUCCUCUCCUCUCUUUUCCUUUCCUUUCCCUUCCUUUAUUUUCCUCUCUUCUCCUCACCUCUCUUCUUCUCUCCUCUGCUCUCAUUCCUUGGCUUUUUCAUUUUUGAGGCUAUAUGGCUUUAUAAAAAAUCUCUUUUUAGUCCCACCCUCCCCACUGCAUCAACAAAAUGAAACUGAAAUGUAGGAGACUUGCCAGGGUUUCAAAAAGUCCUCUGGACCAUACUGCGCUUUAGGGCCCAAAUAUUCCUAACCCUUAAGGUACUGCCUGCCUGUUGUAUUCUUUACAUAUGCAAUGCAUUGGCAAAGGGGAAUAGAGCACUUAGAGCCUAAAGAGGAGAAGGACAGGAAAUGGCCAAGGCCAGGGCUGAAAUGCUGGGAUUCGGUUUCUUUUUCCCCUUCACACUCGGCAGAGUUCAUUCAUUUAACCAGAAGUUAUCUGGCUCUCGGUUUUGUCUGCCUCUCGCUCAUUUCUCUUCUACCGAAAUGAAAAAAAAAAAAAACAAACAAACCCAACCCAAACAAACAAGCCAACAAACAAAAAAUAUAACCGACCAAAGACCCAACCCAAGAGGCAGUUAGCGUAGGGGAGAGAAAGAAAGCGUAAGAGUCCGCUUCCCGCCCAGUCUCUGACCCAGGCUAGCAGAAUGACCUUAGUUAGGCAAGUCACAGCGUCUCAGUGCGCCCGCGUAACUGUCGUUCUGGACCAGAGGGGCACGGAUGCUCUUCGUCAGCAGAGUUCCGCACUGCGCUGUUGAAAUGACAGGUCUGGACGCGCAGAAAUACGUUUUGGGGUAGCCCUACCAAUGGACCUUACAGCUUAUCGAAUACCUUCACAUACUGGAUCUCUGGAUUCUUGAAACGUGCCUGCCAUAUCUGAUCAUUUCACAAAAGAAACUGACUCAGAAGAUUGCAUCUUGCCUAAAGUCACACAUCUGGCCGAAAGCUUUAUUGGUGAUGACAGCUGACAGACAUUCCUUACAACAUCAUGGACUUGGAAAGUGGUUCACAUAUUUUGGCGCACUGUUUUCAGGAGGAACUGGAUUAUUGCUCUUCCUGCCCAAGUGUGUAUCCUAUAUGGUGAACUGGAAUUAUAGAAGACAAAGGAAUUCUGCUGCCUUUCAUCAACUACAGAGAGGAAGUGAUGUGUGAAAAUGUCUCAAUUUUUACCACUUUUUACUUCUACAAGACCUGACUAAUCUAGAAAGCCCCAGGUUCCCAGUCCUGAUCACAAAGGUAUAUCUCCAUGGUGUAUGACCCUGAAGAAUUUUAACAAUGGAUUUAUUAUUGAAAUACACAGAAACAUCUUAAUUUAUAAUGACAUUUUUCAAGCUGCAAUCUUUCAUACAUUCCUUAAAGCUUUUCCAGAGGACCAGAAAUGAUUCACUUGAAAGAAUUGUCAGCAUGCUGCUAAAGAAUGCAUCAAUUCAAAGAAUUUUAUUACAUUUUAAGAACUGACCAGAGAUUACCCACAGGAUUACACAAUUUCAGACUUGGGAAGGGACCUGAGUCACCAUCCAGUGACUUCUAAAAAGAAGUCCCAGAACAUAGCUGAACUGUGGUCUCAUAAGCUUUUUUGCUUUGAUUGCUCUAAUGAUGAGCAGGCUUUUUCCAAGGAGUCAACCAAUAUUCCAUCAGUGACUUGACUGUUCCAGAAAACGGUGAGAUUAAAUUUUCAUGGGUGCCAGGCCUUUCUCCAUGCAUCUGAAGGUCACAUUUGUUUUCUUGGCUUUGGGGAUUCAAAGACAAAAUGAAAACUAGCCCCUGUCCUCAAGCAGAUUGCAUCCAAGUGGAAAAGAACAGAUCUCAUCAAAGUGGCUGUUCCCUCCAACAAUGAAGAUUACAAUCCAUCAAUGUCUACUCAUCCUGUGUGACCAUGGGCAUGUAGUCCUGAAUUAGAGAUUCCCACAUGAUUGGAGAGAGAUGAACAGAGCAAUAUCCAAGACAAUUCUGAAGGACUUAGGAUAAAAAAAAAAGGUUAUCUGCCACCAGAGAAAGAAUUUAUGGAGUCUAGCUACAAUACAGAUCAAGGCCCAGUGCUUCACAGCUUCUUCUGGGUUAAGAGUAGGAGAGAGAUGGAGCUUGUUUGCUUUGGAGCAAAACUCAAAGAACGUAAAAACAGAAAGAAUGCAAGUUAUGAAGGGCACGGACAAUAAAUAGGAGACAUGGUUGGAAUUCUAUUGGCAGCUGGCUCCCUACUACUGUAAGGACAUUUCAGUCUCUACCUAGGAGGACCUUCUUGGAUUUAAUGGCUGUUGAGGAAGCCAUUGAGGAAUGGAUGAUAGAAAACAGAUAAGGGCCAAGAUGGCAGAGUUGAAGCAGGGAAGCUUGAAACCACCCUGAGAAUCCCCUCCAACAAAUCUUAAAAUAACAACACAAAAUGAAAAGGAUAGAGUGAAGCAAUUUUCAAGAAGAGAAAAAUCUAAAAGGCAAAGAACACCUGGGGCUCUGGAGUGAGAAAGGAGAACAGCCAUAAGGAGGCUACAGCAAGGAUUGAGGAGCAAGCCACACCAUGAACCCCACAUCUGCUAUGCUAGGUUAUGAAACUGAGCCCACGGCAAUAUCCAAACCCUGAGACCCUAACUGGCAGAUAGAUGUCCAAGCAAACCUGCACUGGGGUCUAGAAUUCCAGCCUAGGGAAGUCUGUGCUGAAGACAAAGAUCCCUGUUUGGGGUAGUUGGUGGACCCAAAGUUGGGCCCCCUGAACCUCUCAUCAAAGGCACAGGGCAGUCUUCUGUGUGCAUGACCUAAUCAAGAACAGAGUGAGACAAAAAGACUCACCCAAGCCUGAGGCUAGAAUUUGAGCUGUGCCUGAUCUGAUCAAGCACACAGUGAGACCAAAAGCCUACACCCAAGACUCAGGUGAGAAAUUCAGCUAUUAGCAGUCUCAAGGAUUAACUAAAUCAGCAGUGGGAGAUGACUCUCAGAACUCUCAACCCUCAGGCCAUCACACCAUCUUGACAUAACAAAAAUGAAAGAAACCCAGAAAUAAAACUAACAGUAGCAUCAAGGAAGGACUGAAGCUUAAGAGAAUAACCCAAACAGAGCCUUCCUGUAAAAAGGUUGGAAAAUGAGCUGACAACAAAAAAGCACCUAACUCUAGAGAAUUUUUAUGGAGACAGAGCAAGGCAUAGUCACAGAAGGGGACAGUGAAAGCAAAGCCAACAAGAAAAAUAUGAAUUGGAAACAGAUUCUGCAAGAGUUCAAAACAGGAUUUUAAAAAACAAGAGAGGCAGAGGAGACUUCCGGGUAAGCAUGAUGACCAGCUAAACUUGGCUUACUCACUCUCCCGACAAGGAUCACUCCAAAAGACCUUAAAGGAGUUGAAAAGCAGGGAACAGCAGUGAAGGUGCAUGGGAUCAGGGCUUUACCAGCCUAUGAGGGUGAAAGGGCUUCUACCCAAAAGUGAGUGGAUCCACCCGCUCCCCCCCUACAGGGCACACGCCAAUACGAACAAGCAAGGGGCUCCUCUGAAAUGAGGAGAGGGCACAUCUGGGCCCUUGGGAGCUGACUAGGACGGCAGGAGACCCCCCCCCAAGGGCAGCUAGGCAGAAAAACCCAACAUGUGAGAGAGCACAGACCUCAGAUGCCCAGAGCCAGUGUGCCCGCCGGAGCCAGAGAAUGAACCAGGAGCAUUCUUGGGUCCUUGGGAAUUGACUAGGACUGCAGAGGACCCAACCCCAAAAGCAGCUAAACUGGAAAACCAGGCAGGCAAGAGAGUGCAGACACUGAGCACCCCCUGGAGGGAGGCACUGAGAAAAGCUGCAAAGGACUGUGGAGAAUUGAGAGCCUGCUCAUUAAGUCCAUACACAAAAAAAACCUGCCUAGCAGACUCUGAUUUCUGACAAAGAAGGAACUGAAAACAUCCAAAAAAAAUAGCUAACUGUGCACAGGAGCCUCAAAAUCCCUCCAAGAAAUCAAAAAAGGAAACUGUCACCCUCAAUUUUUACAGAGGAAAAACCCAGGCUACUGAGAAAAUACUGGACAAAACUCAAACAAAUGCAAAACCGAAAAAAAACAAAAUUGUCCACAAGCCCUGGAAGAGUCUCAAAUGGAGCUUAUCAUCAGAAAGAUGGAAACCCUCUGGAAAGAAAAUUGGUAAAUGGUUCAAAAAGAAAAUCAACAAAUUAUAUUAGAGAACUAAAAAAUUACAGCUGCAUGCCAAAAGAUUAAAACAGAAAACCAGGCCUUAAGGACCAAAAUUGAGCAACUGGAAACCAAUAAUCUUGCAAAACAGCAAGAAUAAAGCAAAGUCAAAAGACUGAUACAAUAGAAGAAAGCAUAAAAUUUCUCACUGACAAGGUGACAGAUCAGGAAAAGAGGAAGGAGAGACAAUUUAUGAAUCCUUGGUCUACGUGAAAAGCCAGAAAUAAACAGGAACAUUGACACCAUACUACAAGAGAUCAUUCGAGAAAACUGCCCUGAUAUUCUUGAACAAGGGGGCAAAAUUAACAUUGAAAGAGUUCAUAGAACAUCCUCUACACUAAAGCACCCCAAAACAACUCCCAGAAAUGUAAUUGCCAAAUUCCAGUGCUUUCAAGCUAAGGAGAGAAUCCUGCAAGAAGCCAAAAAGAAACAAUUCAGAUACAAAGGAGCACCAAUCAGGAUCACACAACACCUGGCAGCUUCCACACUGAAGGACGGCAAGGCCUGGAACAGAUACAGAAAGGCAAGAGAAAUGGGUCUUCAACCAAGAAUCACCUAUCCAUCAAAACUGACUAUAUACUUCCAGGAGAAAGUAUGGGCAUUCAACAAAAUAGAAGAUUUCCAAUUAUUUGUAAGGAAAAGACCAGAACUAAGUGGAAAGUUUGACAUCCAAACAUAAAGAUCAAGAGAAACAUGAAAAGGUAAUUAUGAAAUAAAGGGAAAAGGAGAAAAAUGCUUCUUUCUUUUAUUCAAACUCUCUUCCUUAAGGGAUACAAUUAGAUUAAAUUAUAUAUGUGGAAAAUGAUAUUUGUAACUCUCAAAAUUGUUUUCGUUAUAGUAAAUAGAAGACUCAUUCAUAACAAAAGAUUGGGGCAUUAAAGGCUAUAAAAUGAUAAGGGGGGAAAAGGGUGAGGGGGAUUGAUGGUACUAAGAUACUUUAAGAAAUAAAAUAAAUAGAAUAAUCUUUGUCACACAAAGACACACAUGGGAAGGAGAGGGGAAGAAUACUCUAAGAGGAAGAGGAAGAGGAAGAGAGUGCUAAUAGGUGAUACCCAAAUAUUACACUCAGUGAAAUCAAUUCUGAGAGGGAAGAACAUCUAGACCUAUUGGGAUCUUAAGGUCUAUCUUAUCCUACAGGGUAAGGAAGAAGGGGAAACUAAGGGGGGUAGGGGAGUACCUAACAGACCCUACACAACAAGAAGGGAAUAGGAGAACUGACUAAAAGUAAACCACUAGACUAAAAGGACAUAGUACAAGAAGAAAGGUCAGAACUAGGAGAGGAUAUCAAAAUACUAGGGAAUUCAAAAGUGACAAUCAUAACUUUGAAUGUGAAUAGGAUGAACUCACCCAUAAAACGUAGACGAAUAGGAGAGUGGAUUAAAAUCCAGAAUUCUACCAUAUAUUAUCUACAAGAGACACACAUGAGGCGAGUAGAUACUUACAAGGUCAGAAUUAAAGGGUAGAGCAAGACCUAUUAGGCCUCAACUGACAGAAAGAAGUCAGUACUUGCAAUCAUGAUAUCUGACAAAGCCAAUGUAAAAAUAGACCUGAUUAAAAGGAAUAGGGAAGGUAAAUACAUCCUGAUAAAAGGGAGUAUAGAUAAUGAGGAAAUAUCACUAAACAACAUGUAUGCACCAAAUGGUAUACCACCCAAAUUUCUAAUGGAAAAACUAGUAGAAUUGAAGGAAGAAAUAGUAAAACCAUACUAGUGGGAGACCUGAACCUACCAUUAUCAAAUUUAGAUAAAUCACUUCAAAAAAUAAGAGGUAAAAGAAGUGAAUGAAAUCUUAGAAAAAUUAGAAUUGGUAAGAUAUAUGGAGAAAAGUAAAUAGGGACAAAAAGGAAUACACCUUUUUUUUUUUCAGCAGCACAUGGCACAUUCACAAAGAUUGACCAUAUACUAGAUUAAAAAGACAUGGCAUACAACUGCAGAAAAGCAGAAAUAACAAAUGCAACCUUUUUAGAUCACAAGGCAAUAAAAAUAUCGAUCAGUAAGGGUACAUGGAGAUCCAAAUUAAAAAUCAAUUGGAAAUUAAAUAAUAUACGACAAAAUCGGUUAGAGAACAAAUAAUAGAAAUAAUAAUUUCAUUGAAGAAAAUGACAAUGAUGAGACAUCCCUUCAAACUUCAUGGGAUGCAGCCAAAGCAGUACUCAGGGGAAAAUUUUUAUCCUCGACUUAUUAACCAUAUAUUAACCAAUUAGGGAGGGCAGAGAUUAAUGAAUUGGAGGACAUGCAAAUCUAAAAACUUGAAAGCGAACUAAUUAAAAAUCCCCAGAAGAAAACCAAAUUAGAGAUCCUAAAAAUUAAGGGAGAAAUAAAUAAAACCAAAAGUGACAGAAUUAUUGAACUAAUAAAUAAGACUAGAAGCUGAUAUUUUGAAAAAACAAACAAAAUAGACAAAAUACUGGUCAAUCUAAUAAAAAAGAGGAAAGAAGAAAAUCAGAUGGAAAGGGAGAACUCACCUCCAAUGAAGAUGAAAUUAAGGCAAUCAUUAAAAACAAUUUUGCCCAAUUAUAUGGCAAUAGAUAUACCAAUCUAGGUGAUAUGGACAAAUAUUUAGAAAAAUAUAAAUUGCCUAGAUUAACAGACGAAUAAAUAGAAUUCUUAAAAAAUCCCAUAUCAGAAAAAGAAAUCCAACAGGCCAUCAAAGAAUUCCCAAAGAAAAAAUCCCCAGGGCCAGAUGGAUUCAAAAGUGAAUUCUAUCAAACAUUCAGAGAACAGUUAAUCCCAAUACUAUACAAACUAGUUGACAUAAUAAGCAAAGAGGGAGUUCUACCAAACUCCUUUUACGACACAAACAUGGUACUGAUUCCAAAACCAGGCAGGUCAAAAACAGAGAAAGAAAACUAUAGGCCAAUCUCCCUAAUGAAUAUAGAUGCAAAAAUCUUAAAUAGGAUCAUUCACCAUGAUCAAGUAGGAUUCAUACCAGGGAUGCAGGGCUGGUUCAACAUUAGGAAAACCAUCCACAUAAUUGACCACAUCAACAAGCAAACCAACAAAAUCAUAUGAUUAUCUCAAUAGAUGCAGAAAAAGCCUUUGAUAAAAUACAACACCCAUUCCUAUUAAAAACACUAGAAAGCAUAGGAAUAGAAGAGUCGUUCCUAAAAAUAAUAAACAGUAUAUAUCUAAAACCAUUAGCUAACAUCAUCUGCAAUUGGAAUAAACUAGAUGCAUUCCCAAUAAGAUCAGGAGUGAAACAAGGAUGCCCAUUAUCACCUUUAUUAUUUAAUAUUGUACUAGAAACACUAGCAGUAGCAAUUAGAGAAGAAAAAGAAAUUGAAGGUAUUAAUUGGCAACGAGGAGACCAGGCUGUCACUCUUUGUGGAUGAUAUGAUGAUUUACUUAAAGAAUCCUAGAGAAUCAACCAAAAAGCUAAUUGAAAUAAUCAACAACUUUAGCAAAGUUGCAGGAUGCAAAAUAAACCCACAUAAGUCAUCAGCAUUUCUAUAUAUCUCCAACACAUCUCAGCAGCAAAAACUAGAAAGAGAAAUCCCAUAUAAAAUCACCCUAGACAAUAUAAAAUACUUAGGAAUCUAUCUGCUGAGACAAACACAGGAACUAUAUGAACACAACUAAAACUAGAUUUGAGCAAUUGUAAAACAUUAACUGCUCAUGGGUAGGACAAGCUAAUAUAAUAAAAAUGACCAUCCUUCUAUAAGGACUACAUUUAUAUCAAUCUAUGUAUACUAACAUGUGGGGAAAAUGUAAUGUAUAAAUAGGGGAUAAAGAAAGACCAAAUAGAAUAAUCUUUCUCACACAAAGAUUCACAUGGAAAGGAGAGGGGAAGAAAACUCCUAUAAGAAGGAGAGGAAGAGAGGGGUUUUUUACUUAAACCUUAAUCUCAGGGAAAUCAACUCUGAGAGGGAAAAACAUCCAGAUCCAUUGGGAUCUUGAAUUCUAUCUUACCAAACAAUGGUAGGGAGAAGGGAAAACCAAG